ACGGCUCAGUAACACGUAGCUAACCUGCCCUCAAGCCCGUGAUAUCGUCGGGAAACUGACGUUAAGAACGGAUAAAUGAUUUUUUCUGGAAUGAUAGAUCGUUGAAAGUUCGCGUGAGGAUGGGGCUGCGGCUGAUUAGGUAGUUGGCGGGGUAAAUGCCCACCAAGCCAUUGAUCAGUAAGGGCCUUUAGCGAGGAAGCCCUGAGAGGGAGUCUGAGACACUACUCCCAGCCCUACGGGGUGCAGCAGUCGGGAAAAUUUUGCAAUGCGCGAAAGCGUGACAGAGCAAGCCAGAGUGUUUUCUCAUUUUGAGAAUUCUUUUGUGGAAUGUAGACAGUUCCACGAAUAAGGACCGGGAGAGACUGGUGCCAGCCGCCGCGGUAAUCCCAGCGGUCCAAGUCGCAGCCACAUUUGUUGGGUCUAAAACAUCCGUAGCUUGCUUUACAAGUC
rnacentral:rRNA from 1 species